rnacentral:rRNA from 1 species
AAACCAGCACCUCAAGUGGUCAGGAUGAUUAUUGGGCCUAAAGCAUCCGUAGCCGGCUCUGUAAGUUUUCGGUUAAAUCUGUACGCUUAACGUACAGGCUGCUGGGAAUACUGCAGAGCUAGGGAGUGGGAGAGGUAGACGGUACUCGGGAGGAAGUGGUAAAAUGCUUUGAUCUCUCGAUGACCAACUGUGGCGAAGGCGGUCUACCAGAACACGUCCGACGGUGAGGGAUGAAAGCUGGGGGAGCAAACCGGAUUAGAAACCCGAGUAGUCC